GCCUGGGCUUCAUAUAGGGCGGGCUCCCGGCCACGUCAGCCAGCGGCAACCACCUGACCGGAGCCGCCCUGCGGCUGGGGCAGCUGCAAGGUGCUCGCAGGUAUGCAGAGGAUGAUUCUCUCUGAAUGUGUACUUUCUUUUUCAUCCAGUUAUUGCAACCCAGUUAUUAAAAGGAAGAACAUAACCACAACAGCCUUUCUGUCCCAUGAAUAAUACUGACUUUGGACCUUUUUGUCUGCCUGGAUUCCUUUUUCCUUUUGUUCACUUCGGAUUGAAUGUAUUGUGCCUCUUCAUUCUUUUGUCACCAAGCGUUCAGCCCCAGUCUUUCUGUAACCAUUGACUGAGAACAGUAUUUAUAAUGUUCAUGGCUGAUACCUGUAUCUGUUAGACCAUAUUAAAGUCUGUUCCACCUCUGUGUUCAACCUAUUUAUAUUCAGAUCCCCACAUGCGCCUCACUUCUGUAUUCUUCUUCUGGAGAAGAAGCACUGAAAACCCUCAGCAUUGCUUUCAUGCAAGGUAGCAUAUUCUGUUUUCAUUUGCAGGCUAAUGCUGCAAGGUGCUCUGCUAAGUGCUGAGCGUUCUCAACUCCCACUAAUUCUAUUUUUAUUAUGAUAGUUAUACAAUAUUACAGUAGUGCCUAAAGCCUCCAGCUGUGAUUGGGCUCUACAAAUACAUAGUAAAAGACAUUACUGUUCAAUCUCAGAGUAAAAGACAGUUUCUGCUCUCAAGGUCUUACAAUCUAUAAAACAAGACACAAGUGGGUGAGUGUAACAAACAAUAGGAAGAAAAAUGGAAGAGAGGACAAAGGGAACGUGAUUAGUUAUAUACACAGAUUGUUUUGAGUCAAUUACUUUUUUCAUUUAUAAGAUGUACAGUAGACCCUCAGAACUAUGAACACCUCGGGAAUAUAGGUUGUUUGUAACUCUGAAACGUUUGUAACUCUCAAAGAAUUAUGGUUGUUUUUUCAAAAGUUUACAACUGAACAUUGACCUAAUACAGCUUUGAAACUUUACUCUGCAGAAGAAAAAUGCUGCUUUCCCUUUAUUUUUUUAGUAGUUUAUGUUUAAACACAGUACUGUACCCUAUUUGCCUUUUUUUACUUUUGGUCUUUGCUGCUGCCUGAUUAUGUACUUCCAGUUCCAAAUGAGAUGUGUGGUUAACUGGUCAGUUUAUAACUGGUGUUCAUAACUCUGAGGUUCUACUGUAAAUAUAAUAAUUAUCAGAAAUCGCUACUGGCUAUCUUUUUAUAUGUGGAAGCUGAGAAUGCUCUGUUCUGGUCAUCACUGGGCCCUUUCCAAGCUGAGUCAUUUGUGUUUUGUUGCAGGUUCAUAAGUUUAAAAUUUAAUUUUCAUUUAACAAAAAUGAAGCCUUAGGUUUUUGUGCAUACAUCCCAGUUUUAGGCUCCACUGUGAUCCACAAAACUCUUGCUAAACCUUGUAGGCUCAUUCGACACCUAAGUUUUCAGGGUAAAAGUUCCCUAGGUGCCUAAGUUUCUGCCUCUGAGCAUAUGCAGUGCUGCCUUCCUCUAGGCGUCCAGAUACCUAGAUCCCAGAACAAGCUGUGAACUGAGGAAAGAUAAGCGUUUAUCCACCUAACUCGUUUGAGCAUAGGCCAUCUACCAGGUCAACUUCCAUUCAAGAUCUAGCUGCUGGAGGAGGUGAUCAUGAACACCUUAUCACUUUUAGCCCUGUGGUUAGAGAACUGCCAAAAGGGGGAAAGUGUGCUCUAACCACUGAAGUAUGGGAUAGUCUGAUGCAGGAUUCCCUCAAUCUCUCCUAUUGAAGCUGUUCUGCUGUGGCCAAAUAAUGAGUGACUGAUUGAAACAGGGGCUGGUCCCUGAGUCUCCCACCUUUCUCAAGCCCAGUGACUGUUCUACUGUGGAUAAAUACUUAAAUAGUCAUUGGGCCCAGAAGCCAGGGGUGAAACUAAUCUGGUACGUACCAGUAAAAAGUGUCCACCGGUACCGGUCCGUACUCAACUGACAUUAAAGCACUGCCAUGACAGCGCUUUAACGUCACUGCCCCUUUCGCACCCCCUGGGCCACUGACGGGAUGGGGGUGGGGUGGCAAGCGGAGCAGCUGCCCUGGGGCCUCAAUUUAAAAGGGCUCAGGGCUCCGGCCACCACUGCUGCUACUGCGGCAGCAGCCAAAGCCCCGGAUCCUUUAAAUUGCCACUGGAGUCCCAGGCAACGUGGGCCAGGCAGUGCGCAUGGGCUGGCUGGGGGAGGCUGACCCCCAGCCCUGCCCCUUCCUGAGCCCGGACCCAGCCCCUGUACCAGUAAGUGUUGAAUGUUACUUUCACCCCUGCCAGAAGCAGCCCUAGUCAUUUUACCAGUCUCAGUUGAGUACUGACAAAUAUAUAGCUGAGAUCAGGCUGGCUCACCUGUGCGUUAGUACUAUUAAAAUAGGUAUUAGAAUUAUAAGAAUUGUUUAGUGUUUAGAUGUGAAUGCUUGUGAGUUGCUGUGUGCAUUAAUUUCACUGAUAACAUCUGUAUCCCAUAUUAUAAGGUCAUAUUUGAGGGUUUGCAUUGCAAGCUUCUGUAACUGUGUAAAUCACCAGACAGGAGAGAGACAUGAACUAGUGUGAAAUGCUGGUCUCCAAUUGAAGGUGUUAUGUCCUGCCUGACAAGGAAGGCCCAUCAAUACCAGAUAGAGAAGAACAUUAACGAAGAAAAAUGUUGUUUACUCUUUCCCCCUCCAUGAAGAUGAGCCUUGCAAGUGAAUUAUUCCCAUCAGCUGAUUUGCAGCUCAAAGUGCCAGGGGGAAGGGAAUAAAAACCCCUAAUGAGAAGAAAGUGGACCUCUAUGCUGUUUGGACUCUUCGUGGCAAGGUUUUCUAGGCAUAGGCAAGAGAACUCAGUCCUGAGUUUGGGUUAGCCCUAAAGGACAUAUAGAGCUUAUUAAGAAUCCUUCUAUAAUGUUGAAAUUGAAGAUUGUAAUUCAUUUG